rnacentral:rRNA from 1 species
CGAAACUGGCAGGCUAGAGUCUUGUAGAGGGGGGUAGAAUUCCAGGUGUAGCGGUGAAAUGCGUAGAGAUCUGGAGGAAUACCGGUGGCGAAGGCGGCCCCCUGGACAAAGACUGACGCUCAGGUGCGAAAGCGUGGGGAGCAAACAGGAUUAGAUACCCUGGUAGUCCACGCCGUAAACGAUGUCGACUUGGAGGUUGUUCCCUUGAGGAGUGGCUUCCGGAGCUAACGCGUUAAGUCGACCGCCUGGGGAGUACGGCCGCAAGGUUAAAACUCAAAUGAAUUGACGGGGGCCCGCACAAGCGGUGGAGCAUGUGGUUUAAUUCGAUGCAACGCGAAGAACCUUACCUACUCUUGACAUCCAGAGAAUUCGCUAGAGAUAGCUUAGUGCCUUCGGGAACUCUGAGACAGGUGCUGCAUGGCUGUCGUCAGCUCGUGUUGUGAAAUGUUGGGUUAAGUCCCGCAACGAGCGCAACCCUUAUCCUUUGUUGCCAGCGGUUCGGCCGGGAACUCAAAGGAGACUGCCAGUGAUAA